AUUUCUUUUUAUAUAGUUUAAAUAAAAAACAUUACAUCUUCACUGUAAAAAUAAAAAAAGAUUUUAUAA
rnacentral:tRNA from 1 species